CGGCAACAGCUCAAAUUUGAAAGCUGGCCUUCUGGCCCGCAUUGUAAUUUGCAGAGGAUGCUUUUGGUGCGGUAUCUUCCAAGUCCCUUGGGACAGGACGCCUUAGAGGGUGAGAGCCCCGUACGGUUGACCACCAAACCUGUGUAAAGCUCCUUCGAC
rnacentral:rRNA from 1 species